GCCCCGGCGCUCCGCGGCCGCGGCGCCUCCGGGAGGGAACUCGACUGGGGGCGGCCGCCGCCGCCGCCGCCGCCGCCGCCGCCGGUGCGGCGUCACCCGCGCGGAGAGGAGCGGCGACACCGCUUCCACCCUCCCCCUCUCCCUCUUUUCCCCAGCCGCGUCUUCUGCUCUAUGCCUGGCUUCCGGAAGGGUGACUAUGUGAGGGCUGCGCCUCAGCCAGAAGUUUGUCCCGGGUCACGAGCACCUAGUAGUUUGUGCGAGCGGCGGGCGGGACCAGCGGCCUGCGGCCCGGCGGGCGCGGCGAAGCAGCUCCGUCCUCGCCGCCCGGCGCCGGACGGCGGUGUAGCAGAGCAGGGCCGGCUGCGCCCGGGCGUCGCAGGACCCGCGCUCCCCAGCCGCCGCGGGGAAGGCGAGCCGGCAGAUCGAGCAGGAUCCGAGGGGCCGCGGCCGGAGCGAAGUUGGCGGGCGCCGAGGACAGAGCGGGCGCCCGCGAGCGCCGCGACCCUGCAGCGCGCCAGCCGGCCCGCGGGAACAGAAGCGCCUGUCCCCGGGGCCCCCGCAGUCGCGAGGUUGUCCCGCGUGGGACGGAGCGAGCUGCGGGCAAUGCCCCGAAGGCGGUGGUCACGCCGAAACGAGGCUUUGGACCUAACCCCUGAUUUCUAUAGGUAACUGGUCAAAGCAACUUUGAGCCCAAAUAGAAGGCCUCUAUUGAAAAUGAAUGGAUUAGAGGUACAGGUCUGUGAUUCAACAGACCUGUACCUCUGAAACAAAUAAUGCAAUAUAUGUGAAGAAAAAAGAAGAAGAAGAUAGCAGGAGAGGAAGAAUGAAGGGGGGGAAAUCGGAGGGGGAGAUGAACCAUGAGAGACGAUGGACUCUGAAAAACAAACUGAGGGUUCUAGAGGGGAGGGGGUUGGGGGGAUGGUUUAGCCUGGUGAUGGGUAUUAAAGAGGGCACGUUCUGCAUGGAGCACUGGGUGUUAUGCACAAUCAUGGAACACUACAUCAAAAACUAAUGAUGUAAUGUAUGGUGAUGAACAUAACAAUAAAUAUUAAAAAAAAGAAAAUGAAUGCAUUAGACUUUCCCUAAGGAAGGGACGCUGUAGGAAUCCUCCCAGAGGGACAUUUGCUUUCACUUCUUUUUUCAGCAGGCAAGAUUUUUUAUUUUAGUCAAACUACAGGAUACUCAUGGCUCUCUGGGGACAAUAGUGACAUUUACAGAAUGGCUGGUCAGAGUUAGGGCUUUCAAGCCAGCCCCUAAUAUUGGUGGGCUUGGGGCAAGAGUAUAUAAAUGGAGACACAUGUCAAUAUCUCAAAGUUAUUAAUCAAGUUAGCAUAUUAUUAUACAUGUGUUGUAUUUUCCUAUCCUGACAAAUUAACAAAAAUACUGAAAGGUAAGAAAAUCUAUAGUUUUUAUAUGAGAAAAGUCAGCAAAAUAUCAGACAUCUGAAUAUAUCAUUAUGCACAUUUAGAUCUGUUGAUAGUCUGACUAUAUGGAGAAGUAAUCAAAGCAUAGAUGAUUCAUAUAUUAAUAUUUAUAAAAUUGAUUUCCCCUUUAUUUUAGUAAAAUCACUAAUAUGUUGCUAUAAACAAGAUUGUCACAUAAUUUGUAUUCACCUGUCAGUAAUGAUCUGACUCUAUGCUGUUCUGUGUGUGAGAACCCAGUCACAUAUCAGUUUUGUUUCUCAGUGGCAAAAACAAGUGCUCAGGAGCCACAUAUGGCUGGUGGUCACUGUAUUCAACAGCACAGAUACGGAACAUUUUUAUUAUCACAGAAGAUUCUAUUGGACAACAAUGCUAAAAGAUUACUGUAUUCAAAUUAUAUAAAAUUUGAAUAUAUAUUUUCAUCAAAAAUGUCAAUUAAAAUUUCUAAAUCAGAAAAGUAUAAUUAC